rnacentral:rRNA from 1 species
CACGGGGCCCCCUGCCCUCGCUGCCACUGUCGACCGGGCCGGACUGUCCUCAGUACGGCCCAACUGCGUGGCGACGAACGGGUGGGGUGCGCCCUCGUAUAACUGGCGAACGGUGUCAGCGGGCGAGGAUGGUGACCC